GAUCAUCAUGUUCUAUCUUACUCGAGUGACCAAAAGAUGAUAUAAUCAUUAAUUAAUUUGUGCAAGAAUAAUAUUAAUAAAUUCAAUAGUUUAGAAAGAGUGAAGAACAAUAUUAAUCAAUAGAAAGAGCGAAGAAAUUACCUCCUUCUGUUCAGUAACACCGCCAUGUACAAAUCAUAUAACCUGCAGAUUUCAAAAGAAAAACUUAUGGCCUCAUAAAAGUUGUGGCAUAGUUCUAAAAAGUUGGAUCGUGAGAUUCAACUUUUAUAUAACAAGUAAUUUAUAUAGCAAAUUUCACACUCUAUAUUCUUUCUCAUAUCUUUUCUUAAUGUCCCGUAACUCCAUCCAUAUAGUUUAUAUAACAAGUAUUUUGCACAAAAAAUAGUUCACACCCUCAGAUCAUCACACUCUGUAUAGGCAACAACAACUACCAGACGUACGACACAAUCUGUUCUACUAAACAUGUCACGCAUGGCUGGUAUUCCAAAAGAGAGCAGUCACAUGUGAAGAAGGGUCUCACUCAAGGUCAUCAUGUUGUGUUCUGUUUCUGGCCAUCAGUCUCAAGGAUUCAUGUUCAGACUCCAAAUUCCACUUUCUUGUGUAUGCACAAAGGACAACUAAUUGGACUCUGCAUCUAUAGUUUUCUGCUUCAACAGGUUAAGAAGAUUCAUGUCCAGAAUCCAAGUCACAGCUUUCUUGCUUAUGUAGAAAGAGGGAAAGACAGUAAUGCUCCAUUGCCUUCUAGAUUUAUUACAUUUAAAAGCUAGAUAGUAGAGCCAGUUCCUACAGGUCAAGUAAAUUCUACGCAAAUAGUGCCCUGUAACCAGUAUACAUACAUAAUCAGACAAAAAGAAAAACAUGGACAUAAAAAUUGUUGCACCCAUGAUUUCUACUGUAUUUACAACAUCCAUCCAUUUAUCUCUGUAUAUCCAUGAAAGCAAGAGUCAUCGUCAAAAUGUUUGUCCGUUCAACAAGCGAGCAGUUACUACAACGCUUCUAUUGCCCACCCCUACUUAAAUGUUUUGAAAAGGUUAUGCCAUAGGUGGUUCCGGUAUGGUCUUUUAAUAGGUUAAUAAGUCAUUUCUCGAUAAGUUGAUGCUUGCAUGGUCUGUCCUGUGCACGGUGGGUUAUUAGAAGACAAAUAUAUCAAAAUGAAGUGAGUAUUAACCACACAAACACACACAAUUUUGAUUUUUUACAUUAACUUUCCUUGUCAUAGACCUCGUCCUAGAUGAGUAGAGCUUCUGCUCUUAAUCACAACAAAUAAAUCAAAGUAAAUAUAGUGCUAAUCGUUUGUAUGUACACUCGCAUACUAACAACAGGCCGCAAUUACUAAAUCCCAAAAAUUAGGCCUUUUUUUGCGAAGACCCAAAAAUUAGGCUAUGACUGAACCGAACUUCCAAACCAACGUCGAGGGUCACAGAUAUUCUACAAGAUGAAUUGAUGGAAAUGGAAACAUAAAGUAUGCACUGGCAGUAGAACCAAAAUUUGCAAACCUGUGACGAUGAAAAAAAAACUGAAUACAACAAACUAUAUCUCAGCCAUGCCAUCUGAAGGUUCUGAACCAUCCAAAUAAAUUUUAUACCAAGAUUAUUGAUGCAUUCCUGUAAAAGAAUAAGAUACAGAAAAGGCAGUUAAAAACCCAGGUGCAGGUCUAUUUAAAAUUCAGGGGCAGGUCUGUUUAAAAUUCGGAUCAAUUCUACAUCACUAUUUUCCAAUUCUACAUCACUUGUUUGUGAAUCUCCAAGGAAAUAGACCUAAACUUUGUGAAUCAGUAUGUGGUGCAUCCCAAUAUUAUUUUUAUCAACACGGGGUGCAUUGUCAGGUAGUAUACCUGAAGUCCAGAAUUUAGUUAAGCAAUAGAGCACACUUUAUAUGUAUACGUACUUAAUAACCAGAGUAGAAUGUAAAAAGUCUAUGGAAAGGGAGAUAACAAACUAAUAAAAUACCUUGUCAUGGCAAGCCUGUAAAUACUUCCAUAAAGCAACCUGGAACAUCAAAAUCCAACUAUGAAAUUCUUAGUGUGACACCUCCUAAAAAUAUAGUGCAGUUAACGGAUCUAAACUAAUAAGAAAAUAAUUUACUACAUGCAGAAAAGAUAUUGUUCCAUCAUGACAUCUUGCCAGUUCUGUCAUGAGAAGAAGAUGACCAACGAACUGUCAAGGGACUCUGGUUUACCAUUACAAAGAGGCAAUGGAUUCAAAAUGAACAAUUAUAGCAUCAAAUAGAGCAGAGCAUUUGUAUUUGUCAGCAUAGGACAUUGCAAGAGUCAGAAGAAUAUCAUCACACAAGUACUGGAGCAUCACAACACCGUCUACAAAUAAUUCUCAUGAACUCUAAGGAAAGAACAAAAAUUCUAAAAGAACUAAAAGUUGACUCUUUUGCGCAUGUUCACGGAGAAUUAGGUUUCCUGCUGACCAUGCCUCGUUAUAUUAUAUUGCAACAGAAGAAUAAUAAAGAUUUAGGAAAUUUAAAAUCAAGUAUUACCAUUCAUUUCAACAGAAAACAAAUUGUUGGUGAGCCAAUAUACAUGUCUAAAAUGUCUGUGUAGUAUAGAUAUUAGAGUUUAUGUUAAAUAGAAACUAGUUUCAGGUUUUUAUUUGUCAGCAAAAUGCCUAGGAUGAUCAUGCAUGUCUUAAAGAUAAGAACAAAAAUGAUCCUAUGUAGUUCUUUUAUACAGAUCAGAAUCAUAGAUAUACUCGUGCUUUCCCAUUAACUCUCCCAGCUAAAACUCGGUUAAUUUGCCCACGUACAACAGUUUUAGAAGGGUCCCGGUCAGCCCAGGUUCGUCUCUCGCUCUGUGAGCCUGCUCAAGAAUAUUAGUCGUCCAUCGAUUGUGGAUGAUAUCACUACUUGAUACCUGCCUUAUUAAUUAGUUCAAGUCUACAUCAACAACCGCUACUUGAGAAGAAUUAAACUCUACUAUUAGCUUGUGCGUACAAUGCACAUUCUAUUAAUGCUACCAACAUUUGCUAUUAGACUCUUAAAUCAUAAUUCAUGUUUCUAUUUUCUAAAUCAGAAUAAUGACCUUGGUAUAGCAGAAACAAACACACAUGUAGCUAGCUGAAUUACCUCACAAAUUUAUUAGCAAGGUAGUAGCAAAAUCUUGAGCUCUUUCCGGUUCUUGCCAUGUUUCCACUCCAGCAAUCCCUCCCUAGCUACUGCCCAAAUCUUCACUGAUGCCUGCAAAAAGUGUGCACGUGUGACUGCACUAAGACAAUCAAAUGAACAAAGUCCGACCAAGAAAACAAAACUUAUACCAAUAGUUCUUAAUUUGCAUCCAACCACGGCAUGAAUGAUCUAUCGAUUCCAAGCAUUUCAAAGAUGAUAUUUCUUUUCUCUAUUUUCAAGUAAGAACAGCAAACAAGAACACCAAGCGGACCGCAUCAACAUAUCAUCAAGGAAUACACCACUCCAGGAGUAAAACCAUGAACCUACAGGGGUCGCCAAAGAGGCGGUGUGAGAGGAGGAAGGCUCCAGGAAGGAGCAAGACUGCUGCAGCACCCGCGACAACAGUGCACGGUCUGUCAGGGGGCAAACCUUCUUGCGAUGGUGACGACCACAUCCUUUCUCUGUUCGCACUUCCCAUCGGCGGCGGCCCCGUUGGCACUCUCCAUCUGCAGCAGAUCCAUGGCCGGUGAGGCAUCGCAGCAAUGGCAAAGAGGCAGCUGCGGUGCAGGGAGUCCACACAACUCCACACACGCGGUGAGCUCCUGCUGCUCGCCGCCCUCCUUCGCACAGCCGAUACGAGGCAGCGGCGUAGGAUGGAGAAGCUCCCGACCGGCAGCGCUGGGAGGGCACGAGAGCUGCGUCGGCCGCUGGACGUGAAGAAGAGGGUUUCCAAGUAAUUUUCUUGUCAUACUAAAUCCACAGAUGUGACAAAACUGCUCGAGUGUAUUGAACCUGAAUGUACACAUGUGUGAUUUAACACUAACUUUACUACAGAUUUGAUUCAGUUCAUCAACAUGAAUUUGGUUGCCACCAUACACAUCAGCCGGACGAUUACCAGAUAUUUUUUUUUUGACUGGGACGAUUACCAGAUAUUACUAUGAUUAGCUUUAACAAGGGGACAAACAAUUUGUUAGUGGUUAGCUCAACAAGAAUCUAAACAAUUCAUGGCAUUUAUCUCCUAAGACACAUCCAACAGUUGUGAAGAAACAGUUACAUCAGGGUGGGGAUAGGAACAAGGACUGAGAGAGAUGAGGAACAUGCCUAGUACAAAUCCAAUCUCAGUCCCUUUUUCUCAUCGUUGAUUACAACCGUUGCCAUUACGAACACCUACAAAAUAUAUGUUCUCAACUCCUGAAUAUCCCACGAGAAAUAGCAUCAAUAAAGAACGAUGAAACUGGACUUAAAUUCAGAGAGAGAGAGAGAGAGAGAGAUCACCUUGUUCUUAUCCAAGCUCUUCCUCAAGAUUCAUCCCCUUAUUUUUGUUCCUCAGAUCUGCACACAUAUGUUUAAAAAAACAAUAAAUCAAAAACUGGGGAGGAAAGAACAUGAAACUGGAUUUAAAUUGAGAGGGAUGGAGAGAGAGAGAUAUCACCUUGUUCUUAGCCAAGCUCUUCCUCAAGAUUCAUCCCCUUCUUUUUGUUCC
rnacentral:lncRNA from 1 species